rnacentral:misc_RNA from 1 species
GGAAGUAAAAGUGUAACAAGGUCUCCGUUGGUGAACCAGCGGAGGGAUCAUUAUCGAGUUUAUAACUCCCAAACCCUAUGUGAACUUACCACUUGUUGCUUCGGCGCGCGCUUCGGCGCCGCCGAGGACACUUAAACUCUUUGUUUUUAUAAGCAUUUCUGAGUGGCCGAAAGGCAAAAUACAAAUGAAUCAAAACUUUCAACAACGGAUCUCUUGGUUCUG